GCUCUAGUCGUUCAAUGGAUAGGACACAGUCCUGCGAAGACUGUAAUUCCGGUUCGACUCCGGACUAGGGCA
rnacentral:tRNA from 1 species